rnacentral:rRNA from 1 species
AGACUUUGAUCCUGGCUCAGAUUGAACGCUGGCGGCAUGCUUUACACAUGCAAGUCGAACGGCAGCGGGGGCUUCGGCCUGCCGGCGAGUGGCGAACGGGUGAGUAAUACAUCGGAACGUGUCCUUAAGUGGGGAAUAACGCAUCGAAAGAUGUGCUAAUACCGCAUAUCUCUCAGGAGGAAAGCAGGGGAUCGCAAGACCUUGCGCUAAAGGAGCGGCCGAUGUCUGAUUAGCUAGUUGGUGGGGUAAAGGCCUACCAAGGCAACGAUCAGUAGCUGGUCUGAGAGGACGAUCAGCCACACUGGGACUGAGACACGGCCCAGACUCCUACGGGAGGCAGCAGUGGGGAAUUUUGGACAAUGGGCGAAAGCCUGAUCCAGCCAUGCCGCGUGAGUGAAGAAGGCCUUCGGGUUGUAAAGCUCUUUUAGUUGGAAAGAAAGAAUUAUAGUUAAUAGCUAUAAUUUAUGACGGUACCAACAGAAAAAGCACCGGCUAACUACGUGCCAGCAGCCGCGGUAAUACGUAGGGUGCGAGCGUUAAUCGGAAUUACUGGGCGUAAAGGGUGCGCAGGCGGCCAUGCAAGUCAGAUGUGAAAGCCCCGGGCUUAACCUGGGAAUUGCGUUUGAAACUGCAAGGCUAGAGUGCAACA